GAUGAACGCUGGCGGCGUGCCUAAUACAUGCAAGUCGAGCGAACAGACGAGGAGCUUGCUCCUCUGACGUUAGCGGCGGACGGGUGAGUAGCACGUGGAUAACCUACCUAUAAGACUGGGAUAACUUCGGGAAACCGGAGCUAAUACCGGAUAAUAUAUUGAACCGCAUGGUUCAAUAGUGAAAGACGGUUUUGCUGUCACUUAUAGAUGGAUCCGCGCCGCAUUAGCUAGUUGGUAAGGUAACGGCUUACCAAGGCAACGAUGCGUAGCCGACCUGAGAGGGUGAUCGGCCACACUGGAACAGAGACACGGUCCAGACUCCUACGAGAGGCAGCAGAAGGGAAUCGUCCGCAAUGGGCGAAAGCCUGACGGAGCAACGCCGCGUGAGUGAUGAAGGUCUUCGGAUCGUAAAACUCUGUUAUUAGGGAAGAACAAAUGUGUAAGUAACUAUGCACGUCUUGACGGUACCUAAUCAGAAAGCCACGGCUAACUACGUG
rnacentral:rRNA from 1 species